GUCACUUGCCACACCCUUUUGCCACUUAUAUUUAUUAAUUACCAAAAUCACUACCAAUUUUUUUCACAUACUAUAUUAUUUAUGCUGAAUAUACUUUUACUAAUCGUUCAGCUCAUGCGGUCAUGCACGGCAUUGGGCUACUACAUAUAAUACCCGACCCCCCGGGCAAACAUAUACAUGCUCAUAACUAUGCUACAGUCAUAUAUGCAUAUGAUGGGAAUGAGAGUUUAUACUUAAUCACAUUCUCACAUAAAGUAGCAAAGAAAAUAAUUAGAGCUGCUGGUAUAAUAGCUAAAAUACGACAUUUCAUAAAUCGAAAUACUCUAAAACUUAUAUAUUAUGCAUUAGUCUAUCCAUAUUUGAUAUACGGCAACUUAACAUGG